rnacentral:lncRNA from 1 species
AUAUCAGUUGAUUUCUUUCUUGAGUGGGGUUGAUAUAGCUUUUUCUUAUACAAAUAAUCCUCGAUUUGCAUCUUUUAAAAGUCAAAGUCUGCACCGUCGAACUUUUCCACCUGUCAUCUUUUCUUCAUUUACAACCAUCACUCCCAGUCAAAUCUGACUUCCCCUUGAUCAUUUAUUAUGACGAACCAAAGCUUGAUACUAGUUGUUAGGAAACUACAACGAAUUCUUUGUAGUCAGAUCAGUGAAAAGCAAUAAAUGCAGAAUAAUAAAACACAAAUUGAUAAUGGAUGAGCAAUGCCUCUAGCUAUCUUGAUAUCUCUCCUUCUUGAAUGAA